rnacentral:rRNA from 1 species
GAUGAACGCUGGCGGCGUGCCUAAUACAUGCAAGUCGAGCGAACGGACGAGAAGCUUGCUUCUCUGAUGUUAGCGGCGGACGGGUGAGUAACACGUGGAUAACCUACCUAUAAGACUGGGAUAACUUCGGGAAACCGGAGCUAACACCGGAUAAUAUUUUGAACCGCAUGGUUCAAAAGUGAAAGACGGUCUUGCUGUCACUUAUAGAUGGAUCCGCGCUGCAUUAGCUAGUUGGUAAGGUAACGGCUUACCAAGGCAACGAUGCAUAGCUGACCUGAGAGGGUGAUCGGCCACACUGGAACUGAGACACGGUCCAGACUCCUACGGGAGGCAGCAGUAGGGAAUCUUCCGCAAAGGGCGAAAGCCUGACGGAGCAACGCCGCGUGAGUGAUGAAGGUCUUCGGAUCGUAAAACUCUGUUAGUAGGGAAGAACAUAUGUGUAAGUAUCUGUGCACAUCUUGACGGUACCUAAUCAGAAAGCCACGGCUAACUACGUG